rnacentral:lncRNA from 1 species
UGGGAUUAGUGAGACCCGGAGGGUAAAGGCACAAAAUCUAACACACUGUUGGUGACCUGCCAUACACGACCUGAAAUGGGAACUUCCUAGUAGACCGAUUUAUCGAACUGUUAUAAGCGAAUUCCGCUUGGGGUAUCGCCAGAUCCCCCAGUACUGAGUGGUUGUCUUUUCCCCUGCAAUACUCCUCAACCAAUUUCCCAAACAGCGGUUCACGACUUCCGUUUGACCAUCUGGGUGGUAUGCACUGCGAAACUCUAGUAUAGUUCCUAAAUCCAUCAAGUUAUCCGAGCCAAAAACUG